rnacentral:rRNA from 1 species
UACGUAGGUGACCAGCGUUGUCCGGAUUUACUGGGCGUGAAGAGCGCGCAGGCGGUCGUUCAAGUCGAGUGUGAAAGCCCCCGGCUCAACUGGGGGGGGUCAUUCGAUACUGAUCGACUCGAAGGCAGGAGAGGGAAGUGGAAUUCCCGGUGUAGUGGUGAAAUGCGUAGAUAUCGGGAGGAACACCAGUGGCGAAGGCGACCUCCUGGCCUGUUCUUGACGCUGAGGCGCGAAAGCUAGGGGAGCGAACGGG